GGUUCGAUUCUGGCUCAGGUCGAACCUUUGGCGGGAUGCUUUACACGCAUGCAGUCGAACGGCAGCACGGACUUCGGUCUGGUGGCGAGUGGCGAACAGGUGAAGUAAUGUAUCGGAACCGUGCUAAUGGCGGGGGAUAACUGCGCGGCAUAGCUAAUACCGCAUACGCCCUUCGAAGCGGGGGACCUUCGGGCCUCGCACUAUUGAAACGGCCGAUAUCGGAUUAGCUAGUUGGUGGGGUAACGGCUCACCAAAGGCGACGAUCCGUAGCUGGUUUGAGAGGACGACCAACCACACUGGGAUACUGAGACACGGCCCAGACUCCUACGGAAAGGCAGCAGUGGGGAAUUUUGGACAAUGGGGGAAACCUGAUCCAGCCAUCCCGCGUGUGCGAUGAAGGCCUUCGGGUUGUAAAGCACUUGGCGGAAAGAAACGGCACGGAUAUUACCCCGUGCAGCUGACAGUACCUGCAGAAUAGCGCAGCUAACUACACGUUGCCAGCAGCAGCCGCGGUAAUACGUAGAGUGCAAGCGUUAAUCGGAAUUACUGGGCGUAAAGCGUGCGCAGGCGGUUCGGAAAAGAAAGAUGUGAAAUCCCGGAAACGCUUUGAACUGCAUUUUUUUUAACUACCGAGCUAGAGUGUGUCAGAGGGAGAGUGGAAUUCCGCGAUAGUAGCAGUGAAAUGCGUAGAUAUGCGGAGGAACACCGAUGGCGAAGGCGGCCUCCUGGGAUAACACUGACGCUCAUGCACGAAAGCGUGGGGGAGCAAACAGGAUUAGAUACCCUGGUAGUCCACGCCCUAAACGAUGUCAACUAGCUGUUGGGAGCCCCAGGCCUUGGUAGCGCAACUAACGCGUGAAGUUGACCGCCUGGGAAAUACAGUCACCAAGAUUAAAACUCAAAGGAAUUGACGGACCGCACAAGCGGUGGAUGAUGUACAGUUAAUUCGAUGCAACGCGAAAAACCUUACCUACCCUUGACAUGUCUGGAAUCGAAGAGAUUUAGGGUGAACAAGAGAACCGGAACACAGGUGCUGCAUGGCUGUCGUCGGCUCGUGGUGAGAUGUUGGGUUAGGCUCCGCAACGAGCGCAACCCUUGUCAUUAGUUGCUACGAGGCACUCUAAUGAGACUGCCGGUGACAAACCAGGAAGGUGGGGAUGACGUCAAAGUCCUCAUGGCUUAUGGGUAGGGCUUCACACAUCAUACAAUGGUCGGGACAGAGGGUCGCCAACCCGCGAGGAAGGCCAAUCCCAGAAACCCGUCAGUCCGGAUCGCAGUCUGCAACUCUGACUGCGUGAAGUCGGGAUCCUUUAGUAAUCGCGGAUCAGCAUGUCGCGGUAGAUACGUUCCCGGGUCUUGUACACACCGCCCGUCACACCAUGGGAGUGGGUUUUACCGAAGUAGUUAGCCUAACCGUAAGGAGAGGGCGAUUACCACGGUAGGAUUCAUGACUGGGGUGAAGUCGUAACAAA
rnacentral:rRNA from 1 species